GGAUUAAGCGUCUUUUAGGUACCCUGUCA
rnacentral:piRNA from 1 species